rnacentral:lncRNA from 1 species
UUUAAAUUGAUUUUAAUUGGUUAAGUGUUUUUAAACUCUGUCAAAAUUCGGUGCAUUUAAACUGUUUUAAAUUAUUUUUAUUAUUUCUCUGUUUUAUUGUGGUUUCUCUUUAUUUUUAAAUUCUUUUUGAUAAUGACAAAUGGGAAGAAAGUUCAUGGAGUAUUUAAGAAGAGAUUAAUUCACCUGAACAAAGCAGUUUCUACCAAAACAACUUCUGAGUUUUAAAGCUUUAAGUUAUUUAUAUUUUUAGUAAUUUAUCUUACUGGACUUAAAUGAUUA